GACGAACGCUGGCGGCGUGCUUAACACAUGCAAGUCGAGCGGUAAGGCCCUUUCGGGGGUACGACGAGCGGCGAACGGGUGAGUAACACGUGGGUGACCUGCCCUCAGCUCUGGGAUAAGCCUGGGAAACCGGGUACUAAUACUGGAUAUGACUCCAUGACGCAUGUUGGUGGGGUGGAAAGCCUUGUGCGGCUGAGGAUGGGCCCGCGGCCUAUCAGCUUGUUGGU
rnacentral:rRNA from 1 species